UGCACCCUGUACAGCAGAGAACCACUCCCCUGCUCUCUGUGCCUCUAAGGCCCAAACUUCUCUGCAGCAUAAACUACAGAAAGGAGCAGGCGAAGGCGAGGUUGGGAAGGAGGGCUCGGCCCCUCUGCUCCUCACAGAACGCCCUCCACACUAGAGCUGAGACUGAGCAUCCCGCACCCUCUGCACUCAGGGGGGUUGGUGACUGUGGGACACAGAGCCUCGGGGUCCAGACCUCCUGACCCAGGUCUCAGGGAGGGUGGCUCUGCUCUUAGACCAUGGGGUAGCCAUUACCAGUGGGGGUGCCAGCAUGGAGUGAACAGAGGCCCUGGGUGCUGCUGGGCAGCACCACUGCGUACAAUGUAACGGACAGGGCUGGGUACCGGGUGUGCACACAGGCACUGACCCCGGUCUACUGCAGACGCCAUCUGCCCCCAUGGUUUCCACAAUACUCGCGAUACUAUGGACAGGAGCACCACUUUCAGCCCGAAAAUGAUCGUGUGGACCUCCAGCUCCAGUGGGACUCAGCCCAACCCCGCCCAAGAAAGGACAACUCGGCCACAGAAGGAGAUCCUGGGGUGAAGGGGGGUUGUCCCCUGGGAAUUCUGCAAGUGUCACCAGGAGGUCACAGAAACCUCUAAUAGGUGGAAGUGACCACAAACCUUAACCCUGAGGGGACAGCUGUCCGGAGGCACCUCACAGGCCUGGGAUGUCGGCCUGUCUACGCAGUCAGCGUGUGGAGGGCCCAGCACCAGGCGAAGAACAGCUCACCGCACACAGCUGUCUACCGGGAGGGAGGGCAUCUGUCCUGGUGGCCCUGCCCAGCCACACCUCCUCUCAGGGGCCCAGUUCAACGGCCAAGGGCAGCAUGCAGAUUUCCCAGGAGCCCACAGGGGCGUGCCACCACAGGAAGCACAGGCCACAGACACAGAGAACAUGCAGAGAGCAACGUCCCAGAAGCCAAGAAGUUCAAGGCCAUCUCCAGCCAGAGGCCAGCCUAGGUCACCUGGGAUGCCACCUCAAAAAACCUACAGCAGGGCUCAGGACGCUGGGGCAGGCACGAGUUCACGGCCAGCCUUGGCUACCGAGUUGCGAUCCUGUCUCACACUUACAAAGCAGGGCUGGGGAGACGGCUCAGUGGGAAAAGCUUGGUGAAAGCCUGGCAACUAUCAACGUGCAAGGGGCCAGCCUGGUCUACACAGCGAGCUCCAGGACAGCCAGGGCUACAGAGGCCCCUGUGUCAAAACACCAAAGUUCAAGGAGAGAAGCAACUCCAAGUUGCUCCCUGACUUCCACAGGCACACAACGGCACAUGCCACCCACCCAUAUGGAUCUGAGGUACAUAAGACCCGUAUCAAGAGCCAAGCACGGUGACCCCACCACUCAGGACCCGGAAGCAGGAGGAUCAGGUGUUCAAGACCAUCCUAAUCCACGUGAGACCUUGUCUCUCA